rnacentral:misc_RNA from 1 species
AAAUGCGUGGGUGGACAGGCUCCCUGCUUGUGCAGCGAACUGUUUUACAUGCGCAUCAUCAAGUCUGACCCAAUUGCUUAGAUAGCAUCAUUGGGCUUCGUUUGGUUUCUGUGUUGGCUACCACCUAGUUGGAAGAGAGUGUCCCUUAUGUUUGUCUUUGUAUCGGCUUGCACCCUAUUWGUGGAAUGCUCGAUGAUCCUAGUAAUGCUUCUCGUUUUCCAUUGUCUCUACCAUAGUGUAGUUGUCGCAAUGGCAUAUGGGAAAGCAUUCGUAAUCUCGGUUGUGGAAUGCGGAAUUGGGUAUUGGGUUGAAUAAACCUUUUAUCCCAAGCAAGGCGUUUUACGCUUGGCACGUACGACACUUGCACUCGCGUUGACCUUUCCCAACUUGUUUGAUGGGGGGGCUCAUGUGAUGCAGUUGUCAUAAAGGAAUG